GUGGGGAAUAUUGGACAAUGGGCGAAAGCCUGAUCCAGCCAUGCCGCGUGUGUGAAGAAGGUCUUCGGAUUGUAAAGCACUUUAAGUUGGGAGGACGGGCAGUAAGUUAAUACCUUGCUGUUUUGACGUUACCGACAGAAUAAGCACCGGCUAACUUCGUGCCAGCAGCCGCGGUAAUACGAAGGGUGCAAGCGUUAAUCGGAAUUACUGGGCGUAAAGCGCGCGUAGGUGGUUUUGUAAGUUGGAGGUGAAAUCCCCGGGCUCAACCUGGGAACUGCCUCCAAAACUGCAUGACUAGAGUACGGUAGAGGGUAGUGGAAUUUCCUGUGUAGCGGUGAAAUGCGUAGAUAUAGGAAGGAACACCAGUGGCGAAGGCGACUACCUGGACUGAUACUGACACUGAGGUGCGAAAGCGUGGGGAGCAAACAGGAUUAGAAACCCCUGUAGUCC
rnacentral:rRNA from 1 species